AUACGGAGGGUGCAAGCGUUAAUCGGAAUUACUGGGCGUAAAGCUUACGUAGGCGGUUCGUUAAGUUAGAUGUGAAAGCCCCGGGCUUAACCUGGGAACUGCAUUUAAAACUGGCGAACUAGAGUUGAGUAGAGGGGAGUGGAAUUUCAGGUGUAGCGGUGAAAUGCGUAGAGAUCUGAAGGAACACCAGUGGCGAAGGCGACUCCCUGGACUCGAACUGACGCUGAGGUACGAAAGCGUGGGUAGCAAACGGGAUUAGAAACCCUAGUAGUCC
rnacentral:rRNA from 1 species